CCAGACCCCGGGGAAGCAGCCAGACUUAAUCUUGUGUCCCCCUGAAAGAGAAAUCUAGAGUGGCUUUUAGGGAGGGUCCUACAGUACCCCCACCCCCGCCUUGCCCCUCUGCCCAAGACUGGAAGACCCGGCAGUCCUUUGGAGAUCUGAGUCGUCCUUUCCCCCAUGACAAUCACCCCUAAUUUCUCCAGCUGUUUCACACCUGACAUGGUGUCCAAACAUGCACCUGCGAGCAGGGUACACAUCAACACUGGUCUUCAGAAUGCCACACCCUUGCUGUUUUCACCUUCCUCUCAGUGCACUGACAUUCUGAGAUCCAUCAGCUACCCAAAGGCUAAGAACCAGUGGUCGGUUCCGCUGCCCAACAGCAUACAGCUGUCACUGCUCCACGGGAACUCCUUCCUGGGCAAGGCCAAACCCAGAGUAGUUAGCGGCUACUGUUCACUAGUGCAUGCCUACACCAAGUGGGAGAGGGACGCUGGGCAGUGUCUAGGAGGCCAACCCACUGCUUUCCCAAGGGAGCAGGACACUGGGUAG
rnacentral:lncRNA from 1 species